CAAAAUGUAGCUUAAUAAAAGCCUCUUGUUUACACCAAGAAAUUAUCUGUUGCAGUCGGAUCAUUUUGA
rnacentral:tRNA from 1 species